CUGUCGCACCACGAGGCGC
rnacentral:snRNA from 1 species